rnacentral:rRNA from 1 species
GGCGUGUUUAACACAUGCAAGNCGAACGAUGAUGCCCAGCUUGCUGGGUGGAUUAGUGGCGAACGGGUGAGUAACACGUGAGUAACCUGCCCCUGACUCUGGGAUAAGCGUUGGAAACGACGUCUAAUACUGGAUAUGAUCACUGGCCGCAUGGUCUGGUGGUGGAAAGAUUUUUUGGUUGGGGAUGGACUCGCGGCCUAUCAGCUUGUUGGUGAGGUAAUGGCUCACCAAGGCGACGACGGGUAGCCGGCCUGAGAGGGUGACCGGCCACACUGGGACUGAGACACGGCCCAGACUCCUACGGGAGGCAGCAGUGGGGAAUAUUGCACAAUGGGCGAAAGCCUGAUGCAGCAACGCCGCGUGAGGGAUGACGGCCUUCGGGUUGUAAACCUCUUUUAGUAGGGAAGAAGCGAAAGUGACGGUACCUGCAGAAAAAGCACCGGCUAACUACGUGCCAGCAGCCGCGGUAAUACGUAGGGUGCAAGCGUUGUCCGGUNGGANGCCAAGANCNCNGGGNCGGUUUGUGGCGNNUGNUGUNAAAUCCCGAGGCUCAACCUCNNNNUUGNAUUGGNUACGGGCAGACUACAANGCCGAANNCNNGAUUNGAAUUCNNGGNGUAGGGGUGGNAUGCCGCAAAUAUUAUGAGGNNCACCANUGGCUAAGGCAANNUUAUGUNCCANNAACUGACNCUGAUGANCNAAAGCAUNNNNAUNAAACACUGAUUAGAUANCCUGCCGGCCAUNCUGUNAANGUUNCACGCUACANACUNGNACCUUUGNANNGUUUGUGUNAUAUNGCUCANUCNUUAANNGCCCCNCNUGGGGACUCCNNGCGAAGGGUUUUAAACUCAAAGAAUUUGCGGGGCCCGCACAAGCGGCGGAAGCAUCGGAUUUAUUCGAUUGCACCGCGAAGACCUUACCAAGGCUUGACAUACCACCGGAAACGGCCAAGAGAUGGUCGCCCCCCUUGUGGUCGGUGUACAGGUGGUGCAUGGUGUCGUCAAGCUCGGUCGUGAGAUGUUGGGUUAAGUCCCGCAACGAGCGCAACCCUCGUUCUAUGUUGCCAGCGGGUUAUGCCGGGGACUCAUAGGAGACUGCCGGGGUCAACUCGGAGGAAGGUGGGGAUGACGUCAAAUCAUCAUGCCCCUUAUGUCUUGGGCUUCACGCAUGCUACAAUGGCCGGUACAAAGGGCUGCGAUACCGUAAGGUGGAGCGAAUCCCAAAAAGCCGGUCUCAGUUCGGAUUGAGGUCUGCAACUCGACCUCAUGAAGUCGGAGUCGCUAGUAAUCGCAGAUCAGCAACGCUGCGGUGAAUACGUUCCCGGGCCUUGUACACACCGCCCGUCAAGUCAUGAAAGUCGGUAACACCCGAAGCCGGUGGCCUAACCCUUGUGGAAGGAGCCGUCGAAGGUGGGAUCGGUGAUUAGGACUAAGUCGUAACAAGGUAGCCGUACCGGAAGGUGCGGCUGGACCACCUCCUUAAUCUGAAUUCGUCGA